rnacentral:rRNA from 1 species
UACGAAGGGGGCUAGCGUUGUUCGGAAUCACUGGGCGUAAAGGGCGCGUAGGCGGCCGAUCAAGUCGGGGGUGAAAGCCUGUGGCUCAACCACAGAAUUGCCUUCGAUACUGUUUGGCUUGAGACCGGAAGAGGUAAGUGGAACUGCGAGUGUAGAGGUGAAAUUCGUAGAUAUUCGCAAGAACACUAGUGGCGAAGGCGGCUUACUGGUCCGGUUCUGACGCUGAGGCGCGAAAGCGUGGGGAGCAAACAGG